UGGGGAACCUGCCCCAUAGUCUGGGAUACCACUUGGAACAGGUGCUAAUACCGGAUAAGAAAGCGGAUCGCAUGAUCAGCUUUUAAAAGGCGGCGUAAGCUGUCGCUAUGGGAUGGCCCCGCGGUGCAUUAGCUAGUUGGUAAGGUAAAGGCUUACCAAGGCGAUGAUGCAUAGCCGAGUUGAGAGACUGAUCGGCCACAUUGGGACUGAGACACGGCCCAAACUCCUACGGGAGGCAGCAGCU
rnacentral:rRNA from 1 species